AUGGUCUUAUUGCUUUUAAAAAUAAUGACCACAGGGCCUGGGCUAGGGAUGGUGACAUUAUUUUCUGCAGCUCAGGGUUUUCAGACAAUGGAAUUGGACUUACUCUGGCAAGUGAUGGGACUUUGCCGACAGACAACGGCUCCAGCCUGGAGGUUACAUGUUCCAUUUUUGUUGGAGACAGCAGCAACUUUGGCUCUCAGGGAGGCCAAAACAGCUACUGGGGAAAAGGGGCAAAUGGAGAAUGAAGAACGCUGCCCAGAAACAAGACAUUCCCUAUCCAUGGAUUCCAGAUUUUUGAUGGGUCUAUCAGGAUGGCAAGAUGCACUUUCAAGAAGUUCACCCUGA
rnacentral:lncRNA from 1 species